UACGUAGGUGGCGAGCGUUGUCCGGAUUUACUGGGCGUAAAGAGUGUGUAGGCGGUGCUCUAAGUCUGUUGUGAAAUCUCCCGGCUUAACCGGGGGGGUGCGGCGGAAACUGGAGUGCUUGAGGGUGGGAGAGGUAAGCGGAAUUCCUGGUGUAGCGGUGAAAUGCGUAGAUAUCAGGAGGAACACCUGUGGUGUAGACAGCUUACUGGACCACUUCUGACGCUGAGACACGAAAGCGUGGGUAGCAAACAGG
rnacentral:rRNA from 1 species